AAGACCUGGUUCUGGGAACACUGGUGAAAGAUCUGAAAGAUCUCCAGAACAAUGUCAGCAGUUUCUGCGGAGGAAAUUCAGAUGGCUGUUACUAAAGCCCUUCCUGGACUUCCUCAAGUGAAGAUGGAGAAGCUGGUGGAGAGGCUUGUUAGCUGGGGGGUAGAAACCAUUGAGGAUCUAAAAUACGUUGAAGGAGCUCCUGGAGCAGACCUGUCACAUGUUCUUCCUCCCAAACUGCUUGACAACUUCAAGACAGCUGGGGAAAAAAUGCGUGUGACAAUAUUCCACUAAGAAGUCCACCUUCAUCCUCCACUGGUUUGGACAUUGUGAAUCCACCAACCUCUUCAUCAGCUCCUUCAAGUUGGCCAGAGACAUUUCAGAUUCCCUGGGACCAAAUGCCAAAUGAUGUGUGAACUGCAGUAGCAAGUGGGAAAAGACCACU